rnacentral:rRNA from 1 species
UCGGGAAUAUUGCGCAAUGGAGGAAACUCUGACGCAGUGACGCCGCGUAUAGGAAGAAGGUUUUCGGAUUGUAAACUAUUGUCGUUAGGGAAGAUACAAGACAGUACCUAAGGAGGAAGCCCCGGCUAACUAUGUGCCAGCAGCCGCGGUAAUACAUAGGGGGCAAGCGUUAUCCGGAAUUAUUGGGUGUAAAGGGUGCGUAGACGGAGGAGCAAGUUGGUUGUGAAAUCCCUCGGCUUAACUGAGGAACUGCAACCAAAACUACUCCCCUUGAGUGUCGGAGAGGAAAGUGGAAUUCCUAGUGUAGCGGUGAAAUGCGUAGAUAUUAGGAGGAACACCAGUGGCGAAGGCGACUUUCUGGACGAUAACUGACGUUGAGGCACGAAAGU